rnacentral:rRNA from 1 species
UGGGGAAUAUUGCACAAUGGAGGGAACUCUGAUGCAGCGACGCCGCGUGAACGAAGAAGGCUUUCGAGUCGUAAAGUUCUUUUAUAUGGGAAGAUAAUGACGGUACCAUAAGAAAAAGCCCCGGCUAACUACGUGCCAGCAGCCGCGGUAAUACGUAGGGGGCUAGCGUUGUCCGGAAUCACUGGGCGUAAAGGGUUCGCAGGCGGAAAUGCAAGUCAGGUGUAAAAGGCAGUAGCUUAACUACUGUAAGCAUUUGAAACUGCAUAUCUUGAGAAGAGUAGAGGUAAGUGGAAUCUUUAGUGUAGCGGUGAAAUGCGUAGAUAUUAAAAAGAAUACCGGUGGCGAAGGCGACUUACUGGGCUCAUUCUGACGCUGAGGAACGAAAGCGUGGGUAGCAAACAGG